UCCGGUUUACCACCGGCAGUCUCCCUAGAGUGCUCGGCUUUACCCGUUAGCAACUAAGGACAAGGGUUGCGCUCGUUGCGGGACUUAACCCAACAUCUCACGACACGAGCUGACGACAGCCAUGCAGCACCUUGCACUCUGCCUAGGUUUCCCUAAGAGGCUCCAUCUCUGGAGUUGUCAGAGGCAUUCUAGCCCUGGUAAGGUUCUUCGCGUUGCGUCGAAUUGAACCACGUGCUCCACCGCUUGUGCGGACCCCCGCCAACUCCUUUGAGUUUCAAUCUUGCGAUCGUACUUCCCAGGUGGGAUACUUAAUGCUUUCGCUCAGACACACACUGUGUAUCGCGUAUGUCGAGUAUCCAUAGUUUAGGGCGUGGACUAC
rnacentral:misc_RNA from 1 species